UACGCUCACACCACCACGAAAACCCGAUCCCAUCAGACCUCGGCAGUUAAGCGUGGUUGGGCUCGAGCAGUACCAGGUUGAGGGAUCGCCUGGGAACUCCAAGUGGCGUAG